rnacentral:rRNA from 1 species
UACGUAGGGUGCAGGCGUUAAUCGGAAUUACUGGGCGUAAAGCGUGCGCAGGCGGUUGUGCAAGACAGAUGUGAAAUCCCCGGGCUUAACCUGGGAACUGCAUUUGUGACUGCACGGCUAGAGUGCGGCAGAGGGGGAUGGAAUUCCGCGUGUAGCAGUGAAAUGCGUAGAUAUGCGGAGGAACACCGAUGGCGAAGGCAAUCCCCUGGGCCUGCACUGACGCUCAUGCACGAAAGCGUGGGGAGCAAACAGG